rnacentral:lncRNA from 1 species
UGGCUUACCACAUACACAAGCAUUAGACUGCGCUUCAUGUUGGGGUACUUCAUUGGCUUUGGUAGUCGGAGUAGGCCACUAUCUUGAAUCUGGUAAAAGAUCGGGGGAACGAUUCAACGGAUGGUGGGAUUUGUACCGAAGUUUCAGUAGUGGCUCUCGUUGUUCCGACGACGAUGAUCUAGGAAGAUGGGGCACCGUAGAAACACCAAGAGUGUUGUACCCUCGUUUGCGCGAGAUAAAUGUGGCGG